GCUCCCUUCCAGGUAAAGGAAAAGGAGUGGGCACCUGACCAAAACAGCCAAUGGGAAGCUAGAACUUUUUAAAAUGGGGGGAAAAAACCUUCCUUUUUGUCUGUUGUUCUCUGGAGGAGGAGACACAGAGCAUCAAUGCUACAAGCAGUAAUGCGAUGUAAGGCUUGAACCAGAUAUAAAAAUUCAUCUUCCAUACCUAGAAGAAAUCAUUGGACAAGAUGGAAGAUUUGGCCACCGGAAGCCUGCCGCUGUGUCACUCGAGAGCCACACUCAGCUUUGAUACAGCUUCAGUUCCAGCUCUGCUGUAUUCUCAAGAGAAUGUUUGUUGUCAACAAUCUGGCUAUUAUGAUUCCACUACCUUUAUGUAUGAAGCUAUUGUGGCCCCUUUUUGACCCAAGAUGUUUUGGGGCCCUGGGGAUGUUCCAGUUGGUAGGGGAAAUUGAUGGUACUGAAAAUAAUGUUAAGAGUAAUUUCUUAUGCAUAAAUUUGGACAUUUUUCCAACAGGCUGACUUUGUUUGGCCUGGGUGUUGUGAUUAAAAGUUGCUAUAUGGAAUAUGGUGGCAAGCUUAAAUUCAACCAAAUGUACUGCCAAGAGACAAUUAAAGGAAAAAUAGGCAAAAAGCCCCUAUGCAGAGAAACAGGUCAAGGUGACCUGGCCAAAUUUGCACAGAUAUGUAUAAUCAGUGGUAAUAAACCCAUCAGAAGUAAGAAUAACCAAAUGAAAUUAGCAAAAGCAGCAAAAGUUACAUGCCAAUUAAAGUUCAUGCAUGCAUAUUAUAUGUUGCAUGUAAUACUUAAUAUUCAUAAUACCAAAUGUUUUUGGAAGAUAAAUAAUAAAUAUGUAAUUAGCAUGUUUGAUAAAAUGUGUUGGGUGGACAGGGUAGUUGGAGUUCGUAGGAGACAUCCAUCAUGACCCACCUACGUCCCAGGAGAAGGUAACUGGCCAUUACUCUUUUUCUAUAUGUCUGUCAUUUCUUACCUUUAAGUAGUAGUAGUAAUUGUCAUUGCAAGGAAUGCUUCUGGUUAAAAUAAAGGUUUGAAUUAAUAAA